AGUGAACGCUGGCGGCAGGCCUAACACAUGCAAGUCGAACGGCAGCACAGUAAGAGCUUGCUCUUACGGGUGGCGAGUGGCGGACGGGUGAGGAAUACAUCGGAAUCUACUUUUUCGUGGGGGAUAACGUAGGGAAACUUACGCUAAUACCGCAUACGACCUACGGGUGAAAGCAGGGGAUCUUCGGACCUUGCGCGAUUGAAUGAGCCGAUGCCGGAUUAGCUAGUUGGCGGGGUAAAGGCCCACCAAGGCGACGAUGCGUAGCUGGUCUGAGAGGAUGAUCAGCCACACUGGAACUGAGACACGGUCCAGACUCCUACGGGAGGCAGCAGUGGGGAAUAUUGGACAAUGGGCGCAAGCCUGAUCCAGCCAUACCGCGUGGGUGAAGAAGGCGUUCGGGUUGUAAAGCCCUUUUGUUGGGAAAGAAAAGCAGCAGGUUAAUACCCCGCUGUUCUGACGGUACCCAAAGAAUAAGCACCGGCUAACUUCGUG
rnacentral:rRNA from 1 species